ACAAAUCUUGAAGCAGGCCUAGCCUGUUUCUUAUUCACCUUACCUUUGUGAUAACUUUACUGUAUCUAGCGGGUUUAAAACCGAAAGGGGUUGCAAGACCACCCGCAGUUUAUUUAAAACACCGUUUAAUGAUUAUGACAUUCAAAAUUGUUUUAAAAUUAAA
rnacentral:misc_RNA from 1 species